rnacentral:rRNA from 1 species
AUGUACGCUGGCGGCGUGCCUAAUACAUGCAGUCGAGCGAACAGACGAGGAGCUUGCUCCUCUGACGUUAGCGGCGGACGGGUGAGUAACACGUGGAUAACCUACCUAUAAGACUGGGAUAACUUCGGGAAACCGGAGCUAAUACCGGAUAAUAUAUUGAACCGCAUGGUUCAAUAGUGAAAGACGGUUUUGCUGUCACUUAUAGAUGGAUCCGCGCCGCAUUAGCUAGUUGGUAAGGUAACGGCUUACCAAGGCAACGAUGCGUAGCCGACCUGAGAGGGUGAUCGGCCACACUGGAACUGAGACACGGUCCAGACUCCUACGGGAGGCAGCAGUAGGGAAUCUUCCGCAAUGGGCGAAAGCCUGACGGAGCAACGCCGCGUGAGUGAUGAAGGUCUUCGGAUCGUAAAACUCUGUUAUUAGGGAAGAACAAAUGUGUAAGUAACUAUGCACGUCUUGACGGUACCUAAUCAGAAAGCCACGGCUAACUACGUGCCAGCAGCCGCGGUAAUACGUAGGUGGCAAGCGUUAUCCGGAAUUAUUGGGCGUAAAGCGCGCGUAGGCGGUUUUUUAAGUCUGAUGUGAAAGCCCACGGCUCAA